rnacentral:rRNA from 17 species
UUGAGGUUCUAACCUAGGAGCGUAAUCCGCUCCGGGGACCGUGCAUGGUAGGCAGUUUGACUGGGGCGGUCUCCUCCUAAAGGGUAACGGAGGAGUGCGAAGGUACGCUAGGCACGGUCGGAAAUCGUGCUGAUAGUGCAAUGGCAAAAGCGUGCUUGACUGCGAGUCCGACAAGACGAGCAGAUACGAAAGUAGGUCAUAGUGAUCC